AAGAGGACUGGUUAGCUCUUUUGGGCGAAGCUGAGAAUUUAAGCCCCAGUAAACGGCGGUGGUAACUAUAACCAUCCUAAGGUAGCGAAAUUCCUUGUCGGGUAAGUUCCGACCUGCACGAAUGGAGUAACGAUUUCCCUACUGUCUCCACCAUGAACUCGGUGAAAUUGCAUUACGAGUAAAGAUGCUCGUUACGCGCAGCAGGACGGAAAGACCCCGGGACCUUUACUAUAGUUUGGUAUUGGUGAUUGGGACGGUUUGUGUAGGAUAGGUGGGAGACGUUGAUGCGGCCACGCUAGUGGUGGUGGAGUCGUUGGUGAAAUACCACUCUGAUUGUUCUGGUUAUCUCACUGUGGACCGUGAUCCGGUUCAAGGACAGUGCCUGAUGGGUAGUUUGACUGGGGCGGUCGCCUCCUAAAGGGUAACGGAGGCGCCCAAAGGUUCCCUCAGCCUGGUUGGCAAUCAGGUGUUUAGAGUGUAAGUGCACAAGGGAGCUUGACUGCGAGACUUACAAGUCGAGCAGGGACGAAAGUCGGGACUAGUGAUCCGGCACCUACUUGUGGAUGUGGUGUCGCUCAACGGAUAAAAGGUACCCCGGGGAUAACAGGCUGAUCUUGCCCAAGAGCUCAUAUCGACGGCAUGGUUUGGCACCUCGAUGUCGGCUCGUCGCAUCCUGGGGCUGGAGUUGGUCCCAAGGGUUAGGCUGUUCGCCUAUUAAAGCGGUACGCGAGCUGGGUUUAGAACGUCGUGAGACAGUUCGGUCCCUAUCUGCCGUGGACGUUUGAGAUUUGAGAGGGGCUGCUCCUAGUACGAGAGGACCGGAGUGGACGAACCUCUGGUGUUCCGGUUGUCACGCCAGUGGCAUUGCCGGGUAGCUAUGUUCGGAAGAGAUAACCGCUGAAAGCAUCUAAGCGGGAAGCCUGCUUCAAGAUGAGAUAUCCGUACACUUUUGUGUGGGAGGCCCCCAGGAGAUGACUGGGUUGAUAGGCCAGGUGUGGAAGCGGGGUAACUCGUGGAGCUGACUGGUAC
rnacentral:rRNA from 1 species